rnacentral:snoRNA from 1 species
AAUGCUAUGAUGAGAUGAAAACACAUUAGUGUUGAUGGGCAGUGGAUUUGGAUCUUUCAAAUUUUUUUGAAAGAUCUGCCGUGAGCCCUCUCUUUUAAACGACUUCUCCUUCCACUGAGCUUC